rnacentral:lncRNA from 1 species
AGUCCAGGAACCGCUUUUGCAUAACCUCAGUAGAUAAAGCAUGCUGAGGUCAUGUCAGAUCAUUUCAAGCUCUUCUGUGUCGAGCUGAGGAGCUGCUCUGUGCCCGGCUUACAGAACUGGAAGGGGGAGCCACCUUCCGCCUGAUGGAGGCUGGAGAACGGAUGGAACCUGGAUCCCUGGAGCCUGGGACACUACCUCGCUGCGGUUGGUGGUGGCCACAGACCAGUAGGAGGGCGGCUGGCAGCGGGAGCUUCUUCUGCCGGGCUGGAGGACUAGGAGAAGGGAGAGGGAACGCCACAUGCUGGAGGCUGGAGCCUGUGCCACCGUGGCUCACCUCGAUGUGGUUGGUGGCAGCUCGCCUUGCUGUGGUUGGUGGUGACGUCGGAGACUGCAGCUCGGCCACAGUGGUAGAAAUGUGUUGGGAUGGAGCCGGACUGUGUAGAACAAAUAAUUACAGAAACAAAGAAAACUUUUGCUGUGUUGGGCACUUGCUCCCAUCUGCUUGCUUCUCUAGAAUCCACUGCCCUAGAAUGAGUAAUUUUUCUUAGAAGCAGAGUUGGAACCACUGAGGAAGCACAGGUGAGCCCUCCCCAGCACACACUCGCUAGUCCCCAACAGAAGAACUGUUGCUGCAUCCAUUGAGGUACCAAGAAACUAGCAAAGGGCCUUCUGGCUGUCUGGGGACAGUCCUCAUGUGGUCCCUGGCUCAGCCUCAAGGGUUCUGGAUUAAUUUGUCUGCAGCCUCUGUGCUGUGUCUCUAGAUCGGGGCUCUGUGGGAAGGGCCCUGGGAGACCCAGCAGCACAGGGUGUCUCGUCUGCCAAAUGUCCCUCCCUUCUCCCACUCUGACACUCAGGAAUAGGGUAGAUGGCAUGUCCAGGCAGUGCCAGGCCACCUCAUUGUCUCCUUUGAGAUGGGCCCAGAGGGCCUUGGGGGGCGAGUGUGAAGCUGGGUACCUGGAGCCUGAGGCUGACUGUCCCUUCCUAUGUCUUGGAGGAGAGGCCUUGGGGCCCAAGAAACCCCCCCGGGCCUGAUCUCUGGGCACACAUGCAGGGAGGGAGGGUCUGUGGGCUGAUUGGGGCAUUGUAAUGAGACGUUGAGCACCACUGCACAGGGGCCUCGUCAGUGGAUCAUGGUCAGAGAUGACCUAGCCAUCAGGACCUGGUCAGUUGGGACCAGAUCAGCAGGGACCUGGCUAGGGGGUGGCCUCCUCAGUGAAGGCCUCACCAGUAGGGAUCUGGUGACCUAGUCAUUGGAAGCCUAGUCAGUGGGGACCUGGUCAGUGGUGGCCUUAUUAGUGGGGCCUGAUCGGUUGGAACAUAAACAAUAAAAAACUGGCCGGUGGGGUCUAUUCAGUAUAUUAGGGGUCUGGUCAGUGUGGGGCCUUAGUGGCUCGGAGCCUGGUCAGUGAGGGCCUGGUCAGAGGGGGCUCGGUCAGCUGGGGACUGAUCCAUGGAGAAUUGUUCAGUGGGGGUGAGGUGAGGGGCAACCUGGUAAAUUGUGGUCUUGUCAGUGGGAACCCAGUCAGUGGGGUCUGGUCCGUGAGGCCUAUUAAUAGGGACCUCUUCCUGGUUAUGGAGACAUGGCCAGUGGGGACUUGGUCAGUGGGACCUGGUCAAUGGAGGAGUGGUCAUUAGGGGCCUUGUCAGUGGGGACCUGGUUUGGGGGGCGCCUGGUCAGUAGGAACCUGGCCAGUUGGCCGCUGUGUGACCUUAGGCAGGGGGUUUGUGGAGCCUCCUUGCUUCCAUGUGUAGGAAGGUGAGUCAGGGCACCCUGGAGCGUUGCUGGAAAGAGAAUGUGAGAAGAUGUGUUGAAUUCAGCACUGCUUGGCAGACCUCCAACUUUACACACAACCUGGGUUCCACCUAGAGAGGGUACCAGCCCGCUCUACUCUGCUCGGCGCCCCUCCUCUGUCUGCAUCCCCAGUACCACACUCGGUGGGGAGGGCAGAGAUUGGGGAGCACCUGUGGAUUCUCUAAUCCUGGUCCUGGGGCCCUGGUGGUGAUAGUGAUGAGGACCUGGGUGCACCUGUGAGUGGAGCAGCUAGGCCAGGCCAGAGAAGCAAGACAAAUACACCCAUAUGCACAUAGACACAUGCAUGCAUAAACACAUUGCAUGCACACAUGUGAGUUCAGGGGAUAGAGGACACUGAUUCUGGGCCCUCUUGACCCAAGCAGGCUCCCGUUGUGGUGUGUUGUGUCACCCCACGAUGUCACUGUUGCUGAGCCCCCAUUGCCUAUGCGUUGUGGAGCAGUUAGAGACACACAGCAGUGUCUGUGAGUGGCUCUGCAUGAAGGGCCAUUUUCUAGGUGAGAGGCACAUCUCAGCACAGCUCACUGAUCAGACUUAGGUGAGUGGAACCUGCUCUCUUCUCUUCCUCCUGGCUUAGGGACAGUCGCUAUCAGGUGGAUGGUUUUGGCCUCUGGGCAGCUACUGAGGGUAAACCCUGAGCACUCACCAGGUGCCUGUUCUGU